GACGAACGCUGGCGGCGCGCCUAACACAUGCAAGUCGAACGAGCGAGAGAGAGCUUGCUUUCUCGAGCGAGUGGCGAACGGGUGAGUAACGCGUGAGGAACCUGCCUCAAAGAGGGGGACAACAGUUGGAAACGACUGCUAACACCGCAUAAGCCCACGGGUCGGCAUCGACCAGAGGGAAAAGGAGCAAUCCGCUUUGAGAUGGCCUCGCGUCCGAUUAGCUAGUUGGUGAGGUAAUGGCCCACCAAGGCGACGAUCGGUAGCCGGACUGAGAGGGUGAACGGCCACAUUGGGACUGAGACACGGCCCAGACUCCUACGGGAGGCAGCAGUGGGGAAUAUUGCACAAUGGGGGAAACCCUGAUGCAGCGACGCCGCGUGGAGGAAGAAGGUCUUCGGAUUGUAAACUCCUGUUGUUGGGGAAGAUAAUGACGGUACCCAACAAGGAAGUGACGGCUAACUACGUG
rnacentral:rRNA from 1 species